GACGAACGCUGGCGGCGUGCCUAAUACAUGCAAGUAGAACGCACAGUUUAUACCGUAGCUUGCUACACCAUAGACUGUGAGUUGCGAACGGGUGAGUAACGCGUAGGUAACCUGCCUGGUAGCGGGGGAUAACUAUUGGAAACGAUAGCUAAUACCGCAUAAUAUUAAUUAUUGCAUGAUAAUUAAUUGAAAGGUGCAAUUGCACCACUACCAGAUGGACCUGCGUUGCAUUAGCUAGUAGGUGAGGUAACGGCUCACCUAGGCGACGAUACAUAGCCGACCUGAGAGGGUGAUCGGCCACACUGGGACUGAGACACGGCCCAGACUCCUACGGGAGGCAGCAGUAGGGAAUCUUCGGCAAUGGACGAAAGUCUGACCGAGCAACGCCGCGUGAGUGAAGAAGGUUUUCGGAUCGUAAAGCUCUGUUGUAAGAGAAGAACGGGUGUGAGAGUGGAAAGUUCACACUGUGACGGUAUCUUACCAGAAAGGGACGGCUAACUACGUG
rnacentral:rRNA from 1 species